rnacentral:rRNA from 1 species
UGGCUUGGAAGCAGCCAUUCAUUUAAAGAGUGCGUAACAGCUCACUAGUCGAGCGGUCCUGCAUGGAUAAUACGCGGGCAUAAGCAUAUAACCGAAGCUAUGGGAUUGUAGAUGAUACAAUCGGUAGGAGAGCAUUCCAUUCAGCGUAGAAGCAGUAUCGUGAGGUAUUGUGGAGCGGAUGGAAAAGCAAAUGUAGGCAUAAGUAACGAUAAUGCGGGUGAGAACCCCGCACGCCGAAAGAUCAAGGAUUCCCCGGCAAUGUCAAUCAUCCGGGGGUAAGUCGGAUCCUAAGGGUAAGCCGAGUGGCGAUCCCGAUGGCAAACAGGUUAAUAUUCCUGUACUGAUCAUAACUGCGAUGCAGCGACGCAGAGGUGACACUGCUGCGUACUGACGGAAUAGUACGUUGAAACCCGUAUUCUUUGAUACCGGUAGUGAAGCACGCCGGUAGAGAUGAAAGGUGAUAGUACCGCAAUGCUUCGGUUGCGCGGAUAAUGCAGGUAAGCUGACUGCCAAGAAAACCUGCUAAGCUUCAGGUAAUGAUCAUCCGUACUGUAAACGGACACACGUGAUCAGGUAGAAAAUACUAAGGCGCUCGAGAGAUUCAUGGUUAAGGAACUAGGCAAAAUGGUCCUGUAACUUCGGGAUAAAGGACGCUCUUGUGAAAGAGCCGCAGAUAAUAGGCCCAGGCGACUGUUUACCAAAAACACAUGGCUAUGCUAAUUCGCAAGAAGAUGUAUAUGGCCUGACACCUGCCCGGUGCCGGAAGGUUAAGAGGAGAGCUCAGUACUGUCUCAACCAUGAGCUCGGUGAAAUUGUAGUUCCGGUGAAGAUGCCGGAUACCCGCAACGGGACGGAAAGACCCCGUGAACCUUUACUGCAGCUUUGCAUUGAUUUUGGGUAACAGAUGUGUAGGAUAGGUCGGAGGCUUUGAUGCUGCGUCGUCAGGCGUAGAGUAGCCGUCGUUGAAAUACGACCCUUUUGUUAUCUGAGGUCUAAUCCCGUUAGGGAGACAUUGCAUGGUGGGUAGUUUGACUGGGGUGGUCGCCUCCAAAAGUGUAACGGAGGCUUCUCAAGGUACCCUCAAGGCGUUUGGUAAUCGUCUGCAGAGUGCAAUGGCAUAAGGGUGCUUGACUGUGAGACCGACACGUCGAUCAGGUUGGAAACAAGAGCAUAGUGAUCCGGUGGUUCCGCAUGGAAGGGCCAUCGCUCAAAGGAUAAAAGGUACUCCGGGGAUAACAGGCUGAUCGCUCCCAAGAGCUCAUAUCGACGGAGCGGUUUGGCACCUCGAUGUCGGCUCGUCACAUCCUGGGGCUGGAGAAGGUCCCAAGGGUUCGGCUGUUCGCCGAUUAAAGUGGCACGCGAGCUGGGUUCAGAACGUCGUGAGACAGUUCGGUCCCUAUCUGUUGUGGGCGCAGGAUAUUUGAGGAGCUCUGACUCUAGUACGAGAGGACCGGGUUGGACAUACCUCUGGUGAAUCAGUUGUGUCGCCAGAUGCACUGCUGAGUAGCUAUGUAUGGAUUGGAUAAGCGCUGAAAGCAUCUAAGCGCGAAGCCAGCUUCAAGAUGAGAUAUCCUUACAGGGUCGUUCGAGAUGAGAACGUUGAUAGGUUGCAGGUGUAUAGUCGGUGACGGCACAGCCGAGCAAUACUAAUUACCCGAAUGUUUACUUU